rnacentral:snRNA from 1 species
GUGGUCACUUUGUCAGCACAAAUACUAAAAUUGGAACAAUACAGAGAUUAGCAUGGCCCCUGCACAAGGAUGACGUGCAAAUUCGUGAAGUGUUCCAUAUUUAA